AUUCGAAACUGGCAGGCUAGAGUCUUGUAGAGGGGGGUAGAAUUCCAGGUGUAGCGGUGAAAUGCGUAGAGAUCUGGAGGAAUACCGGUGGCGAAGGCGGCCCCCUGGACAAAGACUGACGCUCAGGUGCGAAAGCGUGGGGAGCAAACAGGAUUAGAUACCCUGGUAGUCCACGCCGUAAACGAUGUCGAUUUGGAGGUUGUGCCCUUGAGGCGUGGCUUCCGGAGCUAACGCGUUAAAUCGACCGCCUGGGGAGUACGGCCGCAAGGUUAAAACUCAAAUGAAUUGACGGGGGCCCGCACAAGCGGUGGAGCAUGUGGUUUAAUUCGAUGCAACGCGAAGAACCUUACCUGGUCUUGACAUCCACAGAACUUAGCAGAGAUGCUUUGGUGCCUUCGGGAACUGUGAGACAGGUGCUGCAUGGCUGUCGUCAGCUCGUGUUGUGAAAUGUUGGGUUAAGUCCCGCAACGAGCGCAACCCUUAUCCUUUGUUGCCAGCGGUCCGGCCGGGAACUCAAAGGAGACUGCCAGUGAUAAACUGGAGGAAGGUGGGGAUGACGUCAAGUCAUCAUGGCCCUUACGACCAGGGCUACACACGUGCUACAAUGGCAUAUACAAAGAGAAGCGACCUCGCGAGAGCAAGCGGACCUCAUAAAGUAUGUCGUAGUCCGGAUUGGAGUCUGCAACUCGACUCCAUGAAGUCGGAAUCGCUAGUAAUCGUAGAUCAGAAUGCUACGGUGAAUACGUUCCCGGGCCUUGUACACACCGCCCGUCACACCAUGGGAGUGGGUUGCAAAAGAAGUAGGUAGCUUAACCUUCGGGAGGGCGCUUACCACUUUGUGAUUCAUGACUGGGGUGAAGUCGUAACAAGGUAACCGUAGGGGAACCUGCGGUUGGAUCACCUCCUUACCUUAAAGAA
rnacentral:rRNA from 1 species